AUUUUGUUACUUAUUUUAUGGGAUUUGUUGUUGUUGUUGUUGUUGUUGUUGUUCUUUGUUCCUUUAUUCUCCUACUCUCUCACGGUUUGCUGGCUUUCUAUAGUGAUAUACUUGGAUUAUUUUCUCUUUGUUUUUUGCAUAUCUAUUAAAGGCUUUUGAUUUGUGGUUACCGUUAGGUUUAUAUAUAACAUCUUAUGCAUAUAGCAGUCUAUAUUAAGGUAAUGGUCACUUAAGUUUGAACUCAUUCUUUAUUCCUUUCUCCAUCACGUUUUAUGUAUGUCCCUACUGUUGUGGCUAAGCCAUGUUUUCCUUCAGGCUAGCCAUAUGCAAUGGCUCUCUUUGCUUCUUGUGGGCAGUGUUUGGUCCCUAUGUUGUUAUUUGGCUAGUCUGGGCCCUUGUUUGUCUUCAGUUGAGUCAGACCAGCUGUUUGCCAGAGAUACGUAGCACUGAACUGUAGGGCAUUUUACCUGUGUUGUCUUAUGAGUGUUCAUUGAUGGGCAAGGCCUGUAGUAAGAUCAGAUGUCUGCCCCAGUGCAUUUCUGGGGCUGCAGUUGUACUGUUGUGAGUCGUUAUCUUCCCCUCUGUUUGAGUCAAGAUUCACUUUGGAGUGGUGUUGGCCCCUGUGGAUACUGAUUGCACACUGCCAGGCUUGUGGUAGUACUUUGGGUGGGCACUGGACAAAAGCGUAUUGGAGGGGGCAGGUCUACAGGAGAACAGGAGCAAGGAACCCAGUGCCAGCAAUUUCCACACUAGUCCAUUGUGGGAGUGGGGCUGUAGCUUCCCAAAACUCCUGCCCAGGACAGCAAGAGGGGGCAGAUCCACAGAAGCAUGUCGGCCUGGGGUGUGAUGUUAGCAAGGUAGGUGGAGAGUGUGCUGGUUCCCACCGGAAUCCAUGUGUCUAGGCUAGAGUUGGGAUAGGAAAAUGGCACUUGUCAGCUCUUUUUUUUUUCCUUAGUGAGGUCUUCCAAAGAUCCCUCAGGCUCUGAGAUUAGUAAGUAAAUCUCCCACUAAUAUAUACCAGGCAUUUUUCAAACUGCUGGUUCUGUCUUCUACCUCAGCUGGUCUGUUUGUUGUGCUGUCUCUUUAAGGACAGGGACUCUGCCCUCCUAAUUCUCACAGAGUGGAACCCACUGAUUUUUUAGUUCCAGAUUUUAAGCGCCACUGAUUGUUGGGAUCCUCAGGUUUUCAAAGCCAAAUAUUAUGAGGAUUCGUCUUCCUCAUGUGGGUUCCCCGUGCCUACCAUGCCUGGUGUGAGGGUCUGUUUCUUUCUCCUCUUUGCACCCACUAAGUUUCUCUAGUGGACAGUCCCAUGGGUCAUUUGGCUCCUGACCACAUCUUUGCCCUCCUGUACUCUUCUACAGGGUCUCUUCUCUAUAUUUAACUGUAGAGGGUCUGUUCUGCCAUUGUUCAGAACUUUCCUGGGUUAUUGAUACUGAUGUGGGUGUUAACUAGUUGUAUCCCUAGAUCAAAGUGAGCUUAGGAUCCUGCUAUACCACCAUUGUCCUUGAAAGUCUCACCUUUCUAGGUUUCUAAGUAAAUUAUGAUAUAUGCUCAUGUUUAAAGGAGGUUUGAUUAUUCAGUCUUUCUAUAUUACUUAUCUCAUGAAUAAGUAGAAAUAAUUGUCUUCUUAAUGCUAAUUCCUGAGUAGUGAUGAAGUAAUUGAGGCAUUGAAAAUAUUUAUUUAAGGGCACGUGGGUUGCUCAGUGGUUGAGCAUAUACCUUUGGCUCAAGUUGUGAUCCUGGAGUCCUGGAAUCCCUCCCUGGAGGGAGCCUGCUUCUCCUUCUGCCUAUGUCUCAGUGUCUCUCUGUGUGUCUCUCAUGAAUAAAUAAAUACAAAUCUAAGAACAGAUAA
rnacentral:lncRNA from 1 species